rnacentral:lncRNA from 1 species
UGCUGGGAUUACAGGCGUGAGCCACCGCGCCCGGCCAGAAUGAGAUUUUUAACACGAGCAGGAAGCACUCCAUGUAAACCUACUGUUUAAUUGGAUAUUGUACUCAAAGGUGCUUCUCUAAAUGAGCCAGUGAAAACCCAAGUGGGCGUUGGAUAAUACUUAACAGAUAGGGUUGCAUAGUUUCAGUGUAACGGUGCCUCUGUGGGUUACAGCACCAUGGUCAAAACUGGAAAAAUAGUUUCUUAGAAACGAAUAAAGGCAAACUAUGGGAAAAUGGUCAUGGAAGGCUCUCUCACUAAGAAGAAGAAAACUCAGAAUGUCUUGUUAUUAGCAACAUAGAUCUCCAACUAAAGGGCUUACUCAUCCCUGCACUUGUGAUGUCUGCAUGGAGAUGAAACAGAGAUUCAAAAGGGUCAGGUCACUGGCUCCAGGUCAACUCUACUACUAAACAGAAAAGCAAGGACCAAAAUUCAGAUCUUUGUGACCCUCAAUGCCACUAUGCCAUGCGAUGAUGCCUGCCUCUUUUAGAGGCCAACUAAUAGGCCAACUUGAUUUUCUUGAGGAAUGGCCGAAUGGAAGUUGAAUGGUUGAAGGUGACUGGCAAACAGAGAAACAAGGCACCAAGAACUGGCUAUUUCCAAACGUGGGCAAUCAGCUUCUGAAUGAAUAGUUCAGAAUGAUGCAGCUCUGGAUGUUGGAAAGGACAAUUCCGGCGUUUUACUCUUCUGACCAGUUUCUUCGUUUUCAUAACUCUACUUGAAGAACAUAUGAUGUUUGCCAGUGUCUGACAUUACGGACCUCACAGCUUACUGAAUCUGAAAACAGGAGAUAGAGAUGGAAAGGAAAGCCUCAGGAACUUGUUGCAAUAGGGACUGCCAGGUCCCGUUGCACUAUUGGUGGAAGAGAGGUCCACACGGUGCCUACGAUAAGCGAUUUGUUCGUAUCUAUCCAGACUGCAGGUGCAUACAGCCACUCAUCCUCAAAUGCCAUCCUCAGGAGUUUAUGCUGCACACAGACUGGCACAUGUGCAGGAAGACAUAGUGCAGGGCUACGUGCUACAACAUUGUUGGUGACAGCAACAUAUUGGAAGCAACCUGAAUUUUUGUUAAUAGAGGAUUGGCUACAUAAAUGAUGCUAAUCUAUACAACUGGAGUACUAUGAUGCCAUAAAAAAGAAUGUACAAGGUCUUUACGUUUGGAAAGAUCUCUAAGAUAUAAUGAUUUUCUUUGCCUCUCAAGGGAGCUGGGAGAAACUCAAGUCUGAAACUCAAACUCAUCUCAGUCAUUCCUUUCCCUUCAACUAGACCUGAACCUCAGGAGAUCUGGAGUAUGUGCUGAAUUCUACUGGGAACUGAGCCCUCUGAAUAUUAUUAUUGUUUUGCUAAUACUUUUUGCUGGAAAGUACAUCAAACCAGGAUGUGUUGUACCUCUUGCUUUGCCAGACUAUUUAAAAGCAAAAGUGACCAGAUAUCCAACUUAAGGCUGAUCCAGGUUUUUCAUGAUCUAGCCAGGGGAGACAAACCUUCCAGGAAAGUCUCUAGCGAAGGCCAAGGAUUUUAGAAAGUAUCUGUGAACAAAGAAAUGCAAUGUUAGUGGGCUAAUUUCCAUAAUCAAAUGAAGCUGAUGCAAGUGCUUUGUGAAUUGAUGCCCAUCAACGAGAGACUGGAUAAAGAAAAUGUGGCACAUAUACGCCAUGGAAUACUAUGUAGCCGUAAAAAUG